ensembl:snRNA U6 U6 spliceosomal RNA
UCGCUUUGGCAACAGAUAUACUAAAAUUAGAAUGAAACAGAGGAUAUUAGCAUGGUCCCUGUGCAAGUAUGGCAUAAAAAUUCAUGAAGCAUCCCAUUAAAAC